UAGGAGAUGAGAGGUGUGGAAUACGGCUGCCGGCAGACCGAGAAGAUGGCAGACUAAUGUCUCAGAAGAACCAUCUUAUUGGGGUUGAAAAUUUUAAUUUAUUUCAAAAUGGUAACUAAGUCGAGGCAUGUUGGCUGGAAGAUGGGACAAGGAAGUUUGUAGAAGGACCCAGAAGGAAGAGGAGUGAUCGACUGCACCAAAGCUGCUGGGAGGUUACAGGGAAUUGACUACUGACUUUGGAUGAUUGAGAGGUGCAGUGGGUCAAAAACCCCAUGGGCACCAGCUGAGGAGAGAAAUGAAAAUGACACAGUGAGUUCCUGUAACAAGACCAAGGAAACAGGCUUAUAUCCGAUUCUACCAGGAGCCAUUCUAUUCAUGAGGCAUCUUCUGUUUGCUCUCUAGACGGGGAACGGGCUGAGGAAGCUCCAGGAAACAGGGAAGUCAGGCUCGCAGGUUUGGAUUGGCUUUGGGGACCAUUUCAGGAAUUACCAAGACUUACAGAGCCGCUUGGGCAAGAGAUUUAAAAAUUGAGGGAUAUGAAAAUCAACUAGGUGAAGAUGAAGUGAGAAAUGCACUUGGAGUGCGUAGCGUGGUGUCUGACAAAUGUUUAUAUAAAAACGAAAUUGAUUAUGGUGUGGUCCUUAUUCCAAAGGCAGCUAAUACUCUCCUCGUCCCUUCCCUUUCUUCUUUCCCGCCCCUCCCCUUCUUCCUAGCUGCCCUAUUUUCCACAUUCCUUUCAGUUAGCUUUAGCUCCAUGCCAAAGUCAGCAGAGAAUUCACCCUGAAAAUUAAGCAUAAAGUCACUGUGAAGUGUUGGUCAGAGAACUGGGGCCAGGGCAUGUGUGGUAUUUUCUGCUCAGAGCUGUCAGCCAGUGACUCGCUGGGCCCACAGGGCUUUAUCAGCAGGGCCACAUCUCGGGGUGGACCGGACAGAAGGCCACGGCUCCAGACAGUUCAGGGAGAUGGCUGCCAUCCGCUGGAGCCGCUCUGGGAGAAGACAUCCGCCUUUGCUGUCUGCUGACAUUUUGU